AGAUUAUUUUUUUCCUUCGUCGUCAUCAUCUAUCAAGUGUGAUUUCUUUGAUUAAAAACACAAGAGGGCGCAUGUUCAAGUCAACUGGGACGUGAAUUCAUCAUCAUCUAGACGGGUGUUUCUCUCAUUUCCAUCCUACUUAAACAAACUAGAUCAUCAAUUUCCGAUCCUUUGCCAAGGCACGACAUUGGGAACACUUCACUACUUCAUCAACAAGAAAAACAAGAUUGAUGAUGGCGACAAAGUGAAGCUAUGUAUUGAUGACGGAAUGUCAAGCACAUCCUUUACAAAUCAAGUAAAGGUUUGAUGAAUUCCCGACCAUUGAGGUUUGGUUGGAAUCAGCAAUUGUUGCUUCAGCUAAAGGGUUAUAAACAUCCAUUUGUUUUGAAGAGGAUGAAAUGUUCAAGAUACUAGUUUCAUUGUUGUGAACAAUGUUGUCAUCUUGUGUUUUUGGUUUCUCUAUUUGAUUUGGAUUGGUGAAUGAAUUCAACACAUGAGAGAAAUCAGAAAUAGUGACUUGGUAAUAGAGAUGCAUUAGUAUUUGAUGCUCCUUCUCUAGACCUUCCAAGUUUUGAACCGUUCAUUUUCUUUCUCAAAGACUCUAGUGACAACCCAUUCACUCUACAAAAACUAUCAUUAUAUGGCAACUAUUGUAAUUUGUAGAUUGUAAAUAUACAAAUCCUUUACCUGUUUCUUCAAAUACUACAAAGAAUAAUUUAUAAAGUUGGUGAAUUUUGUUUAAA